rnacentral:rRNA from 1 species
ACCGCAAAACAAGCAGAGGGGGCUUAGUGGUGGGGUGACUGCGUACCUUUUGUAUAAUGGGUCAGCGACUUAUAUUCUGUAGCAAGGUUAACCGAAUAGGGGAGCCGGAGGGAAACCGAGUCUUAAUUGGGCGUUAAGUUGCAGGGUAUAGACCCGAAACCCGGUGAUCUAGCCAUGGGCAGGUUGAAGGUUGGGUAACACUAACUGGAGGACCGAACCGACUAAUGUUGAAAAAUUAGCGGAUGACCUGUGGCUGGGGGUGAAAGGCCAAUCAAACCGGGAGAUAGCUGGUUCUCCCCGAAAGCUAUUUAGGUAGCGCCUCGUGAAUUCAUCUCCGGGGGUAGAGCACUGUUUCGGCUAGGGGGCCAUCCCGGCUUACCAACCCGAUGCAAACUGCGAAUACCGGAGAAUGUUAUCACGGGAGACACACGGCGGGUGCUAACGUCCGUCGUGAAGAGGGAAACAACCCAGACCGCCAGCUAAGGUCCCAAAGUCAUGGUUAAGUGGGAAACGAUGUGGGAAGGCCCAGACAGCCAGGAUGUUGGCUUAGAAGCAGCCAUCAUUUAAAGAAAGCGUAAUAGCUCACUGGUCGAGUCGGCCUGCGCGGAAGAUGUAACGGGGCUAAACCAUGCACCGAAGCUGCGGCAGCGAACGUAUCACCCAAGACAACUUUACGGAGUUGACGAUUGACGGAGCGAAGCGACGUCAAAGCGUUCAUUAAAGUCGAGUUGGCUUAGGGAUACGUUCGUUGGGUAGGGGAGCGUUCUGUAAGCCUGUGAAGGUGUGUCGUGAGGCAUGCUGGAGGUAUCAGAAGUGCGAAUGCUGACAUAAGUAACGAUAAAGCGGGUGAAAAGCCCGCUCGCCGGAAGACCAAGGGUUCCUGUCCAACGUUAAUCGGGGCAGGGUGAGUCGACCCCUAAGGCGAGGCCGAAAGGCGUAGUCGAUGGGAAACGGGUUAAUAUUCCCGUACUUGGUGUUACUGCGAAGGGGGGACGGAGAAGGCUAUGUUGGCCGGGCGACGGUUGUCCCGGUUUAAGCGUGUAGGUGUGUGUUCCAGGUAAAUCCGGUU